GAAGGAGGAGGAGGAGGAGGAGGACUAACUCAACUCGCUCUAAAGUAACAUGUCAUCUCCUUGGCAGGGGUGACGGGGCGAGGCCGCCAGCUGUAGCACCCCCGGAAUUCUGGACUCGGCGAGGUAGUCACUCCCUCCCUCCACCGGUGCUGUGUGGCCGCCCCUCAUGUGGCGUGAGAAUGGCUGGCUGUAUACUGUUGCUUGGCACUCGUGAACCAUCACCACUUCAUUGCUAUGUGUGUGAGGAAGAGAAAGAAGGCGAAUAAACUCACCGUGGAAGACAGAAAGAGAAAGACACUCGUACGCACACACACAGAAGCCGGACGCUAUCCUAUCUCAGUCCUAUAACCAGCCUGGCGACCUGCCUUCUGCACUAAGGUUAAGAGGAGGACGCCGUGGUGUUCAUGUGUCCUUCAGAAGCAGAAUAUUCCCUUCAACCAAGAAAGAAGAGAGAAAUAUAGAAGGGCCGUGAAUUAAGGCUCUUCCAUCAAUUUUCCCUUUCCCGCCACUUACAAAAGAGCUGAAAAAAUUAGAAGAAAAAACAGGAUCGUGAAUUUUUUGUUUUUUUUUUUGUUUUGAUAUUUACACAAAGGGGAAAAAAGGACAGCAAGGUCGACGGUCUGAAAUGAAUAAGUGACAAGAAAUAAAAAUAUGUGCGUGUGCGUAUGUGUGUGUGUUAAAUUUAGACGCGUGUAGAAUGCAGGGCAGAAAUUUCAUCAGUACGAGAAAAUCAUAAAAAAAUAAAAUAAGAAUAAGAAUAAGAAAAAAUUAGAGAAGAGAAAAAAAAAAGUGCGGCAGGUUAGGCCAGAAAAUAAGGAAAUAACGAACCACAUUCACCGUGAUAAAAAACAAACAAAAAAAAAAAAAAAAGGAAAAAGACACUGAGAGAGAAAAAAUAAAUAAAUAAAACAGGAAAAACAACAACAGAUAGUGAAACACAACAAAUACAGGAACAAAUAGUGAAAAAAAAACAAGAAAUAGAGGACAAAGAAAACUACGUGGAAGGAACAACAACUCUAAAUAAACACACACACACAAACACACACACAAAAACACACAAAUACACUCUCCCACUCAAGACCAGGAAGGGAGAGGAGGAGGAAGUCAACACCUGUAAUUCCUGCAACACCUGAAGAGAGCGGGAGGGCAAGACACA